GGGGUCCGUAAGGGUCCUGCACAGGUGGUGCAUGGCUGUCGUCAGCUCGUGUCGUGAGAUGUUGGGUUAAGUCCCGCAACGAGCGCAACCCUCGUCCUAUGUUGCCAGCGAGUAAUGUCGGGGACUCAUAGGAGACUGCCGGGGUCAACUCGGAGGAAGGUGGGGAUGACGUCAAGUCAUCAUGCCCCUUACGUCCUGGGCUGCACACAUGCUACAAUGGCCGGUACCAAAGGGCUGCGAUGCCGUGAGGUGGAGCGAAUCCCAAAAAAGCCGGUCUCAGUUCGGAUCGGGGUCUGCAAACUCGACCCCGUGAAGUCGGAGUCGCUAGUAAUCGCAGAUCAGCAAUGCUGCGGUGAAUACGUUCCCGGGCCUUGUACACACCGCCCGUCACGUCACGAAAGUCGGUAACACCCGAAAGCCGGUGGCCUAACCCUUGUGGGAGGAGCCGUCGAAGGUGGGACCGGCGAUUGGGACGAAGUCGUAACAAGGUAGCCGUACCGGAAGGUGCGGCUGGAUCACCUCCUUUCUAAGGAGCGUCUGGCUGGUCUGUCCCGUUGGGGGUGGGCUGGUCCAGGGCCAGGGCCGGAUGUGUAGGCCGGUCUGGUUGCUCGAGGGUGUGGACGCUGAUGAUGUGGCUGCUGGCUUGUCUGGUGCCUAGUACUCCUGCUUUUGGGUGGGGUGGAACGGGGCUGGGUGGAGCUGGUGGUCCGUGGCGCGCUGUUGGGUCCUGAGGGAGUCAGGCCGGUUGUGGCUGGGACUUUCUUGAUCCGCUUUUUGUGGGUGCCCCUGUCCUCCUGUGUGGGGGGUGGGGGUGUUCCGCGAGGGUGGUGCGGCUCUGGUCGCCGCAGGGUACUGCCUCUUGUUGUGAGGGGUGAGUCCUGCUGGUGCGGCUGGUUGCCGUCCGUACGUUGAGAACUGCACAGUGGACGCGAGCAUCUUUGUGGCCAAGUUAUUAAGGGCGCACGGUGGAUGCCUUGGCACCAGGAGCCGAUGAAGGACGUGGGAGGCUGCGAUAUGCCUCGGGGAGCUGCCAACCUAGCUGUGAUCCGAGGAUUUCCGAAUGGGGAAACCCGG
rnacentral:sRNA from 1 species